rnacentral:rRNA from 1 species
UACGUAGGGCGCAAGCGUUAUCCGGAAUUAUUGGGCGUAAAGAGCUCGUAGGCGGUGUGUCGCGUCGGCCGUGAAAACCUGCAGCUUAACUGUGGGCUUGCGGUCGAUACGGGCAUCACUGGAGUUCGGCAGGGGAGACUGGAAUUCCUGGUGUAGCGGUGAAAUGCGCAGAUAUCAGGAGGAACACCGGUGGCGAAGGCGGGUCUCUGGGCCGAUACUGACGCUGAGGAGCGACAGCGUGGGGAGCGAACAGG